UUAAAUUCUUUAUAUUUCUAUUCAACAAAGAAAUAUUCUCGGUAAUAAAAUCAGCGUUAGCUUAGCUCCCCUCAGCAAUGCUUUAUUUAGCAAAUUUCUUAACAUUGGAAUAAAUGGCAUAUACAAAUCCCUCAAGAAGUCAAAAUGGGUUAUUUCCUUGCAAUAUAAUAUCCAGUUAUUUAUAUCAGCUUAGCAAAAAUAGACUUGUUCUAUUAGCUUAUAACAAUGAUACGACAGAACCCAUGACAUAUCAAUAAGAUAACAAAAUAUCAAUGUCAAAGAAUAAAGCCUGCUUUUCUAACUAAUUGCAAUCAUAGUGUGCACAAUUUUUAAAGUUAAACAUCUAAUUAAAACGAAGUGCGUUAUCUACGUUGACAGUUUAAAAAAUCACUAAAAUGCAAUAGUCUAAGGUAAAGGGAACUGCUUUUUGGGAAGAGGAAGAGUAGUGCCGCUAACCUUGAUGCAUUCUUGUCCAAGCCAAUGACCGAGAGUAACAGCAUAAUCGAUUCCUUGGCCUUGAGAAAGAGCAGCAAUAAAUCCACCAGCAAAGGCAUCUCCGGCACCAUUGGUAUCGACGAUUUCCUCAGAUGGGACGCGGUUGGGCUUGUAAGUGGUUACUUUACCGUCUUUAGCAACGAUCGUGGCAUCGGCUCCUUGAGUAAUGACAACAACACGGGUGCGUUUCUUGUUAACCUUCUCAACAGAAGACAAGGCCAGCGCAAUCUCCUGGACGUCGGUACUUUUGAUUCCAUGAUUCUCCCCGUAGCUAAGGAUUUCAGCUUCGUUGCCAAUAACAUAAUCACAAUAUGGGAUAACGGAAUCCAUUUGCUCCUUGAAAAAUUGAGAGAGGAAAGGAGCGCUAAGAUUCAUGAUAUAGGGCUUGUUAUUCUCAUUAGCAUGUUGAGCUAAACAUAACAUGGAUUCGGGACUGACGGUCAAGUGAAAACCACCGACGUAAAUAACCUUUGCUUCCUCAACGAACUUCCAUACAUUCGGCUGUUGCAAGUCCUUGAGCUUGUAGUUGUUAGCAGCUCCCAAGUUGGUACAAAGGGAGCGAUUUUUAUUGUUGUUGCUCAAGACGACAGCACAAACACCAGUAGGUGUAGUGGGAUCAACAGAAAACUCAGAUCGUAAUCCAGCUUUUUCGUUCGAUUCAAGAAGCAUAUCAGCAAACUUAUCUUGACCAACGCAGCCGGCGAAAACAGUAGAGUUAGGAGGAAGUACGUAUUGAGCAGCACGGCAGCUGUUUUGAGCUGCACCACCGGCACUGUAGCUAACGCAUGGCUCCUUGUAGAUACCCAUCUGGCUCUCAGAAGCUAAGACGGCGUCGUUGCUCUUCAAGCCAUACUUUUCAAGAGUUGCAGUUUCACCACCAACAUAGUAAUCCAACAGAGGGUUUUCCAAACCAAACAAGAUGUAUGAAGACAUGAUAAAUGAUUGUAGUAAGGGAAGGGAAAAAGUUAAAGAAAAACCACGAGAAAAUACACCAAC